AUCUAACUGAUGAGUUCAUAAUAAGACGAAACACUCUUCUUAGAU
rnacentral:hammerhead_ribozyme from 1 species